CUUUGCUCUUCUGCCCACAGCCCCCGAGGAAUCUUCUGGGGUUGCAGAGUGAGCAUGUGAACCUUCAGGCUGCCCCCGGGCAGUCUUGCGCUUCUCAGGGCUGAGUCGAAAGGGGCACGGCACAGGCUUCCCGUAUGAACACACGUCCAAAACCCGUGUGGGACUGGUCCCAUGUUCACAGAACCAUAUACACUUGGAAGCUAUAAGAAAGGACCAAGAAGCAGCUCAUGUCUUCGGGGUAAAGGAGAAGACGGAAUGAGUGAUGAUGUGGAAACCCGUCCAGAGGACUCCUGAAGACAACGCUGGUGCCACCACUUGGGAAGGCUGUGGAGCCUGGAGGAGGCGGGGUCCUGCUGGAGGAAGCGGUGGCUAGGGUGGGACACCAUUUCCUGCUCACUCACAGCCUGCUUCCUGACUGCUGACACCACGUGAUGAGCCAGCUUCCGGCCCUGCCCCUGCAUCCUGCCCGCCAUGGUGGACAAACCCCUGAAAACGUGCGCUAAAACAGACCUCUCCUCCCUUAAGCACCUUUCUGUCAGGCGUGUUGUCCCAGCAACAGGGCAGUCACUGCCGCAGCAGAUCACGGGACGGGAGCUGUGCCCGACCGAGGACGUGGGGGCAGGACGUGCCGUGGGCAGAGCGAGCUGCCGCACUGGGAUCGCCCCGCACUCUUCCCAGCCUACCUGUGCUCAUGGCAGGAGGACCAGCAGGUGGAGCCACUUCCUGUGUUCUCAAGUCACACAUCAGACUCCACACGGCGAAGCAGAGGGAGACGCAGCCGAGCCAGUGACACUUUUUUAAAAAACAUGCUAAAAUGAGAAAGCAAGUUUCUCUUAGUUCUCCUGAGCUCUUCGAGCAGGUCAUCGAGGCUGCUGUUUAGCAUUUCAGCUUCUUCCCUCCUGGAAGCACAGCUGUCAGCUCCUUCCCUCUUUCCACUUUCCCUUUAGUCUCUGUUAUCUGAUCGUUAUGUUAUAAGAAAAAACAGGCAGCAGGCCACAAAGAUGCACACCUAGGCAGGCAGACCUCUGUGAGUUCAAGGCCAGCCUCAUCUACAGAGCAAGUUUCAGAGCAGCCAGGGCUACACAGUGAGACCCUUUUAA